ensembl:misc_RNA
GAGUAAGACUCCUGGAGACAGAGGUCUUCUUGUUGUCAAGAGGACAGGGACAGCAGCAGGUGCAGCAGCAGUGCUGGCUUCCCCACAGUGCCCUCCCAUAGUGCACCAACAAGGACCUACGGCAGGAGGGUGUUUCUGUCUCCAUGUCCAUUCUCUCCUUGGCCUCU